UUCUUUUAGUAUUUUUUAAAUGUAUUUUCUGCCCUAUGAUUAAUUAAAUGGCUGCAGUAUUUUGACUGUGCAAAGGUAGCAUAAUAAUUAGUUUUUUAAUUGGGAACUUGCAUGAAUGGAUAGAUGAGAGAUUUUCUUUAUUUUGUAUAUUUUUAUAAUUUUAUUUUUGAGUAAAAAAGCUUAAUAAUUUUUCUGGGACGAAAAGACCCUAUAGAACUUUAAAUAAAAUUUUAGUUUAACAUCUUUAUUUUAAUUUUUAAUUAAUUUUUUAUUUUUAACUGGGGCGGUUUUUAAAUUUUAACUUUAUUUAUUUUUUUCAUUAUAUAUAUGAUAUUUUUGAUCCUAUAAAUUAGAUUACAAGUUAAGUUACCUUAGGGAUAACAGCGUAAUUUUUAUGGGGAGUUCUUAUUUAUAUAAAAGUUUGCGACCUCGAUGUUGAAUUAAGAUAAAUAUAUGGGGUAGGUUCUAUAUUUUUUGGUCUGUUCGACCAUUAUAUUCUUACA
rnacentral:rRNA from 1 species